rnacentral:rRNA from 1 species
AGACUGAUGGCGACCGGCGCACGGGUGAGUAACACGUAUCCAACCUACCGGCUAUUCCGGGAUAGCCUUUCGAAAGAAAGAUUAAUACCGGAUAGUAUAGCGAGAAGGCAUCUUCUUGCUAUUAAAGAAUUUCGAUAACCGAUGGGGAUGCGUUCCAUUAGUUUGUUGGCGGGGUAACGGCCCACCAAGACAUCGAUGGAUAGGGGUUCUGAGAGGAAGGUCCCCCACAUUGGAACUGAGACACGGUCCAAACUCCUACGGGAGGCAGCAGUGAGGAAUAUUGGUCAAUGGACGAGAGUCUGAACCAGCCAAGUAGCGUGAAGGAUGACUGCCCUAUGGGUUGUAAACUUCUUUUAUAUGGGAAUAAAGUGAGCCACGUGUGGCUUUUUGUAUGUACCAUACGAAUAAGGAUCGGCUAACUCCGUGCCAGCAGCCGCGGUAGUACGGAGGAUCCGAGCGUUAUCCGGAUUUAUUGGGUUUAAAGGGAGCGUAGGCGGACUAUUAAGUCAGCUGUGAAAGUUUGCGGCUCAACCGUAAAAUUGCAGUUGAUACUGGUCGUCUUGAGUGCAGUAGAGGUAGGCGGAAUUCGUGGUGUAGCGGUGAAAUGCUUAGAUAUCACGAAGAACUCCGAUUGCGAAGGCAGCUUACUGGACUGUAACUGACGCUGAUGCUC